ensembl:lncRNA
GUAGCUUGGAAAAAUUUAAUCGUUUGUCACUGUCUAUAACAGGGGUAAGCAACUCCAGGCCUUAAGUACCAGUGUCCUACAGGUUUUAGAUGUAUCCUUGAUCCCACACAGCUGAUUCAAAUCGCUAAAUGACCUUGUCAACAUGUCUUGAAGCUCUCGAGAGGCCUGGUAGUGAAGUUAUCAUUUGAUUCAGGUGUGUUGACCCAGGGUGAUAGCUAAAACCUAGGACACUGGCACUUGAGGCCUGGAGUUGCCUACCCCUGAUCUAUAAGAUAGUAUAUGAUUGCUAUUUUCAAUUCAGUGUCUCCUCUGCUGUGGAAACAGACUUGCUCUGUUUAGACAGGGGGACAAUGAUGGAGAUUCGUUUAUAGAGAUACGCUGCCGAAGACCUGAAAAGUAUGAAGAGUUUCGGCAGAUGUGGGAUCUGAUCUUGGCAGUGAUGUCCAAGCUGUUUGGGCUGUCAAGGCAGUGGCCGGGACUGACCCAGCAGGUGCACACACCCUGUCCAGAGAGAGGCUGUCUGCAUUAUUUUACCUGGAGGGACUGGCAGGAAUUGAACAACACCAACCUUUACAGUCUUGUGAAGGAGGAAAAAUUAGUUUGCCAGGGAGGCCAUACACGACGAACAGAACUGAUUUUUCCAAAAGCUGCCACUUUGCAGUGAUGACUAUGAAAAUGACGUCAAAGAAGACAAACACAGCAUCACAACCUCUUCAGCAAUUUUAAAGUGGCAAAAUGUUUUUUGUGCUAGUCAAUUUUAUCUCCUUUUUUAGGUGACUGAUAUGAGUAUUAUUUGGAAACUAUUUUGUGGCAAGUGUCACUCUGAGUAUGAGGUUCAGGGCUGAGGCUGAUUUUGUAACAGCUGUUUUGCAAUAGAUGUAUUACAAAAUACUCCAGAAGACUACUUGCAUUUCUGUUUUUAAUAUGCAGCGUUUCGGUGUUUAUGUGUACAAUGGCAGCCUCUGCUGGCCCUUGACGACUGUCGUCUAUGUUUGUCUUUGUGAAGACAAGUUGUACACCUUACAGUGUUACAUGACAAAUUACAACUGCUGCAUGUAAAAUAUUUAAGCUGAUCUUUAAUAAUAUGAUAGUCCAAAUCAAUCCGGUCCUGUAAAAACUCCUGAUAUCUGCUUGCCACCCCUGUAUUUCUCUAGUUUUUCAUCAGGUUCUCAAAACUCACUUCUAGUGCUG